ACGCUAGCGGGAGGCCUAACACAUGCAAGCCGAGCGGUAGGGUUUCUUCGGAAACCUGAGAGCGGCGCACGGGUGCGGAACACGUGUGCAACCUACCUUUAUCAGGGGGAUAGCCUUUCGAAAGGAAGAUUAAUACCCCAUAAUAUAUUAGAUGGCAUCAUUUGAUAUUGAAAACUCCGGUGGAUAGAGAUGGGCACGCGCAAGAUUAGAUAGUUGGUGAGGUAACGGCUCACCAAGUCAAUGAUCUUUAGGGGGCCUGAGAGGGUUAUCCCCCACACUGGUACUGAGACACGGACCAGACUCCUACGGGAGGCAGCAGUGAGGAAUAUUGGACAAUGGGUGAGAGCCUGAUCCAGCCAUCCCGCGUGAAGGACGACGGCCCUAUGGGUUGUAAACUUCUUUUGUAUAGGGAUAAACCUUUCCACGUGUGGAAAGCUGAAGGUACUAUACGAAUAAGCACCGGCUAACUCCGUGCCAGCAGCCGCGGUAAUACGGAGGGUGCAAGCGUUAUCCGGAUUUAUUGGGUUUAAAGGGUCCGUAGGCGGACUCGUAAGUCAGUGGUGAAAUCUCAUAGCUUAACUAUGAAACUGCCAUUGAUACUGCGGGUCUUGAGUAAGGUAGAGGUAGCUGGAAUAAGUAGUGUAGCGGUGAAAUGCAUAGAUAUUACUUAGAACACCAAUUGCGAAGGCAGGUUACCAUGUCUUAACUGACGCUGAUGGACGAAAGCGUGGGGAGCGAAC
rnacentral:rRNA from 1 species